CCUACGGGAGGCAGCAGUCGGGAAUUUUGGGCAAUGGGCGAAAGCCUGACCCAGCAACGCCGCGUGAAGGAUGAAGUAUUUCGGUAUGUAAACUUCGAAAGAAUGGGAAGAAUCAAUGACGGUACCAUUUAUAAGGUCCGGCUAACUACGUGCCAGCAGCCGCGGUAAUACGUAGGGACCAAGCGUUGUUCGGAUUUACUGGGCGUAAAGGGCGCGUAGGCGGCGCAACAAGUCACUUGUGAAAUCUCUGGGCUUAACCCAGAACGGCCAAGUGAAACUGUUGUGCUAGAGUGCAGAAGGGGCAAUCGGAAUUCUCGGUGUAGCGGUGAAAUGCGUAGAUAUCGAGAGGAACACCAGAGGUGAAGACGGGUUGCUGGGCUGACACUGACGCUGAGGCGCGAAGGCCAGGGGAGCAAACGGGAUUAGAUACCCCGGUAGUCCUGGCCCUAAACGAUGAAUACUUGGUGUCUGGAGUUAUUAGUGCUCCGGGUGCCGUCGCCAACGUUUUUAGUAUUCCGCCUGGGGAGUACGCUCGCAAGAGUGAAACUCAAAGGAAUUGACGG
rnacentral:rRNA from 1 species